GACGAACGCUGGCGGCGUGCUUAACACAUGCAAGUCGAACGGUAAGGCCCUUCGGGGUACACGAGUGGCGAACGGGUGAGUAACACGUGGGUGAUCUGCCCUGCACUUCGGGAUAAGCCUGGGAAACUGGGUCUAAUACCGGAUAGGACCACUGCCUGCAUGGGUGGUGGUGGAAAGCUUUUGCGGGGUGGGAUGGGCCCGCGGCCUAUCAGUUUGUUGGUGGGGUGAUUGCCUACCAAGGCGACGACGGGUAGCCGGCCUGAGCGGGUGACCGGCCGACUUGGGACUGCGAUACGGCCCAGAUUGUUACGGGGGGCAGUAGUGGGGAGUAUUGCACAGUGGGCGCACGCCUGAUGCAGCGACGCCGUGUGAGGGAUGCCGGCGUUCGGGUUGUAACCCUCUUUCAGUACCGACGAAGCGUAAGUGACGGUAGGUGCAGAAGAAGGACCGGCCAACUACGUGCCAGCCGCCGCAGUAA
rnacentral:rRNA from 1 species